AAUAAAACUCCAUCCAAACUUCUACUCAUAAAUUUAAUUAUUAUUUGUAUACAAUUGUUAAUAUGUAAGAAAAUACACGUACAAAAUGUUUAUACUAUUGGUAAUACAUUAGUCUUGGUUGUUUGACUAAAACAAUGCAACCAUUGUCCAAACUAAAGAAUUUGAUUCGAAGCUAUCUCCUAAUAGAGGGAGGCUCAAUUAGACUUUGUUGUAAGAUUCGACCAUAUCAAUUUGAAUAGCGUUCUCCAACUAUAAAUAUUGAACUCCAAAGUAUUCACGAGCAAAGUAAGUUUGUUGAAACUAUCUAUAAAAGUGUUCCAAAGUGAGUCGUGGAGAAGAUUUGCCUUAAAAUCUAGUUCCAAUUAAGGAUGUCAAUGAUGAAGAAGUGCAAGCUGUUGGAAGAUAUUGCAAUUGUGAAGAAGUUCCGUCAUAUGCAUCGGACGGUACCGCCAUCCUAUAAGCUCUUAUCUUUUGUGGAAUUCUUCAAAUUCCCUCUCCAUAAGUAGCAGUAUAACUACUAGAUUGCUUUCUUUAUUUACAAUAAGUCCUCUCUCUAUAUGUGCUUCUCGGACAUUACUCUCUUUUAUCUAUAAAAAUGGCAUAGCCAUAAUGA